UGAACGCUAGCUACAGGCUUAACACAUGCAAGUCGAGGGGCAGCAUGGUCUUAGCUUGCUAAGGCCGAUGGCGACCGGCGCACGGGUGAGUAACGCGUAUCCAACCUGCCUUACACUCUUGGACAGCCUUCUGAAAGGGAGAUUAAUACAAGAUGUUAUCAUGAGUAAGCAUUUUCGCAUGAUUAAAGGUUUACCGGUGUAAGAUGGGGAUGCGUUCCAUUAGAUAGUAGGCGGGGUAACGGCCCACCUAGUCUUCGAUGGAUAGGGGUUCUGAGAGGAAGGUCCCCCACAUUGGAACUGAGACACGGUCCAAACUCCUACGGGAGGCAGCAGUGAGGAAUAUUGGUCAAUGGACGAGAGUCUGAACCAGCCAAGUAGCGUGAAGGAUGAAGGUUCUAUGGAUUGUAAACUUCUUUUAUACGGGAAUAAACGAAUCCACGUGUGGAUUUUUGCAUGUACCGUAUGAAUAAGGAUCGGCUAACUCCGUGCCAGCAGCCGCGGUAAUACGGAGGAUCCGAGCGUUAUCCGGAUUUAUUGGGUUUAAAGGGAGCGUAGAUGGGUUGUUAAGUCAGUUGUGAAAGUUUGCGGCUCAACCGUAAAAUUGCAAUUGAUACUGGCAGUCUUGAGUACAGUUGAGGUAGGCGGAAUUCGUGGUGUAGCGGUGAAAUGCUUAGAUAUCACGAAGAACUCCGAUUGCGAAGGCAGCUUACUAACCUGUAACUGACAUUGAUGCUCGAAAGUGUGGGUAUCAAACAGGAUUAGAUACCCUGGUAGUCCACACGGUAAACGAUGAAUACUCGCUGUAGGCGAUAUACAGUCUGCGGCCAAGCGAAAGCAUUAAGUAUUCCACCUGGGGAGUACGCCGGCAACGGUGAAACUCAAAGGAAUUGACGGGGGCCCGCACAAGCGGAGGAACAUGUGGUUUAAUUCGAUGAUACGCGAGGAACCUUACCCGGGCUUAAAUUGCAACCGAAUAUGGCGGAAACGCUAUAGCUAGCAAUAGCGGUUGUGAAGGUGCUGCAUGGUUGUCGUCAGCUCGUGCCGUGAGGUGUCGGCUUAAGUGCCAUAACGAGCGCAACCCUUGCCGAUAGUUACUAACAGGUCAUGCUGAGGACUCUGUCGGGACUGCCAUCGUAAGAUGUGAGGAAGGUGGGGAUGACGUCAAAUCAGCACGGCCCUUACGUCCGGGGCUACACACGUGUUACAAUGGGGGGUACAGAGGGCUGCUACCACGCAAGUGGAUGCCAAUCCCAAAAACCUCUCUCAGUUCGGAUUGAAGUCUGCAACCCGACUUCAUGAAGCUGGAUUCGCUAGUAAUCGCGCAUCAGCCACGGCGCGGUGAAUACGUUCCCGGGCCUUGUACACACCGCCCGUCAAGCUAUGGGAGCCGGGGGUACCUGAAGUGCGUAACCGCAAGGAGCGCCCUAGGGUAAAACUGGUGACUGGGGCUAA
rnacentral:rRNA from 1 species